CCUACGGGUGGCAGCAGUGGGGAAUAUUGGACAAUGGGCGAAAGCCUGAUCCAGCCAUGCCGCGUGUGUGAAGAAGGCCUUCGGGUUGUAAAGCACUUUCAGUGGGGAAGAAAGCCUUGGGGCUAAUACCCUCGAGGAAGGACAUCACCCACAGAAGAAGCACCGGCUAACUCCGUGCCAGCAGCCGCGGUAAUACGGAGGGUGCGAGCGUUAAUCGGAAUUACUGGGCGUAAAGCGCGCGUAGGCGGUCUGAUAAGCCGGUUGUGAAAGCCCCGGGCUCAACCUGGGAACGGCAUCCGGAACUGUCAGGCUAGAGUGCAGGAGAGGAAGGUAGAAUUCCCGGUGUAGUGGUGAAAUGCGUAGAGAUCGGGAGGAAUACCAGUGGCGAAGGCGGCCUUCUGGACUGACACUGACGCUGAGGUGCGAAAGCGUGGGUAGCAAACAGGAUUAGAUACCCUAGUAGUC
rnacentral:rRNA from 1 species